UACGGGUAGCGCUAGUGUUAUUCCUCUUGAUUGGGCGUAAAGGGUGCGUAGGCGGCGCAGUAAGUUGGGUGUGAAAUCCCUCGGCUUAACCGAGGAAUUGCGCCGAAAACUACUGUGCUCGAGGGAGAUAGAGGUGAGCGGAACUUAGGGUGGAGCGGUGAAAUGCGUUGAUAUCCUAAGGAACACCGGUGGCGAAAGCGGCUCACUGGAUCUCUUCUGACGCUGAGGCACGAAAGCUAGGGUAGCAAACGGG
rnacentral:rRNA from 1 species